AAAAAAGGCAUUUUUUUUUAAAUUUUUUUUUUAUUUAAUAUCUAAAGAGAUAUAAAAGCUUCAGGCCAAAUGCAAUGGUAUAUUUAUAUUUCAAACUGAAAGGGGACAUAGUUGGUUAAAUUAUUUGAUCAGGACUUAUUUUCGCGAGGUUCAAAGACAUUGCUGAUGAUAUAAAUUUCACAAAAAUCUGGCAACACAUGACGGACGACCGGCAUUUCUGUCCCCUGCAACGCGUUAAGACAAGUAAUAAAAAAAAUCCCAUGUGGAGGCUCAAAUUCCGGCGAAGGGGGGUACUAUAUUUCGAAAUUCCAUAUACAAAAAGGCCGUUGUAAUGGGUCCAUUUUGAGAUUUCGUAUUUCAAUUGGAUGUGAAACUUUAACAUCACAUAUUACUGUUUCUAAUGAUGGUAGUUACGAGAAAACAACAAAAUUCUGUUAGAAACUUAUAUAUUGAUGGGUAUUUUGAAAUUAAACAAAAAUCUAGCCAUGGUCGGAUUGUAGGGGGAGUACACAUGUAUACAGGAAAAACGUCUGGAAAAAAGUGCAUAAAAGGUUCUUAAAAUAUUUUCGCCUCGCUCCGCUCGGCGAACAGUUUCGCAUACACAUCAUUUUAACCCUGGCUACGCCACUG
rnacentral:lncRNA from 1 species